rnacentral:rRNA from 1 species
CGAACGCUGGCGGCGUGCUAACACAUGCAAGUCGAGCGAUGAAGCUCCUUCGGGAGUGGAUUAGCGGCGGACGGGUGAGUAACACGUGGGUAACCUGCCUCAUAGAGGGGAAUAGCCUUUCGAAAGGAAGAUUAAUACCGCAUAAGAUUGUAGUACCGCAUGGUACAGCAAUUAAAGGAGUAAUCCGCUAUGAGAUGGACCCGCGUCGCAUUAGCUAGUUGGUGGGGUAACGGCUCACCAAGGCGACGAUGCGUAGCCGACCUGAGAGGGUGAUCGGCCACAUUGGGACUGAGACACGGCCCAGACUCCUACGGGAGGCAGCAGUGGGGAAUAUUGCACAAUGGGGGGAAAAACCCCCUGAUGCAGCAACGCCGCGUGAGUGAUGACGGCCUUCGGGUUGUAAAACUCUGUCUUUGGGGACGAUAAUGACGGUACCCAAGGAGGAAGCCACGGCUAACUACGUGCCAGCCGCGGC